CCUACGGGCGGCUGCAGUGAGGAAUAUUGGUCAAUGGGCGAGAGCCUGAACCAGCCAAGUCGCGUGAAGGAUGACGGUCCUAUGGAUUGUAAACCUCUUUUGUCAGGGAGCAAAGGGCGCCACGUGUGGCGUUUUGCGAGUACCUGAAGAAAAAGCAUCGGCUAACUCCGUGCCAGCAGCCGCGGUAAUACGGAGGAUGCGAGCGUUAUCCGGAUUUAUUGGGUUUAAAGGGUGCGCAGGCGGAAUGUCAAGUCAGCGGUAAAAUUUCGGGGCUCAACCCCGUCGUGCCGUUGAAACUGGCGUUCUUGAGUGAGCGAGAAGUAUGCGGAAUGCGUGGUGUAGCGGUGAAAUGCAUAGAUAUCACGCAGAACUCCGAUUGCGAAGGCAGCAUACCGGCGCUCAACUGACGCUCAUGCACGAAAGCGUGGGUAUCGAACAGGAUUAGAUACCCUUGUAGUC
rnacentral:rRNA from 1 species